GCUUGACUGGUUCAGUCGGUGGAGCAUGAGACUCUUGAUCUUGGGGUUGUGAGUUCGAGCCCCAUGUUGGGUG
rnacentral:tRNA from 1 species